AUUGAACGCUGGCGGCAUGCCUUACACAUGCCAGUCGAACGGCAGCACGGGUGCUUGCACCUGGUGGCGAGUGGCGAACGGGUGAGUAAUACAUCGGAACAUGUCCUGUAGUGGGGGAUAGCCCGGCGAAAGCCGGAUUAAUACCGCAUACGAUCUACGGAUGAAAGCGGGGGACCAUCGGGCCUCGCGCUAUAGGGUUGGCCGAUGGCUGAUUAGCUAGUUGGUGGGGUAAAGGCCUACCAAGGCGACGAUCAGUAGCUGGUCUGAGAGGACGACCAGCCACACUGGGACUGAGACACGGCCCAGACUCCUACGGGAGGCAGCAGUGGGGAAUUUUGGACAAUGGGCGAAAGCCUGAUCCAGCAAUGCCGCGUGUGUGAAGAAGGCCUUCGGGUUGUAAAGCACUUUUGUCCGGAAAGAAAUCCUUGGCCCUAAUACGGUCGGAGGAUGACGGUACCGGAAGAAUAAGCACCGGCUAACUACGUG
rnacentral:rRNA from 1 species